rnacentral:rRNA from 1 species
CAGUCGCCACGGUAAUACGUAGGGUGCAAGCGUUAAUCGGAAUUACUGGGCGUAAAGCGUGCGCAGGCGGUUAUAUAAGACAGAUGUGAAAUCCCCGGGCUCAACCUGGGAACUGCAUUUGUGACUGUAUAGCUAGAGUACGGCAGAGGGGGAUGGAAUUCCGCGUGUAGCAGUGAAAUGCGUAGAUAUGUGGGGGAAUACCGAUGGCGAAGGCAGCCCCCCGGGAUAACACUGACGCUCAUGCACGAAAGCGUGGGGAGCAAACAGGAUUAGAUACCCCGGUAGUCCCUGUCUCUUAUAC